rnacentral:misc_RNA from 1 species
GACAGAGGGUGCAAGCGUUGUUCGGAAUCAUUGGGCGUAAAGCGCGCGUAGGCGGCUCAUUAAGUCGAAUGUGAAAUCCCUGGGCUCAACCCAGGACGUGCAUUCGAAACUGGUGGGCUUGAGUCCCGGAGAGGGUGGUGGAAUUCCCAGUGUAGAGGUGAAAUUCGUAGAUAUUGGGAGGAACAUCGGUGGCGAAGGCGACCACCUGGACGGAGACUGACGCUGAGGCGCGAAAGCGUGGUAGCAAACAGG